CCAAGUCAUCAGUCCGUUUGGCUUCUUCUUAACUGAAUGCAGACUUGUUAGGAAGGUUCCUGUUUAUUGAGCCUUCAUUGGAGGUUCAAGAGGAAAUUUUUAGUUUGUCCAGUCAUCCUUCUCUUCCUUUUCUAUCCAAACCACUGAAUAAACUUGCUCCAUUUUCGUCCUUUUAGGAAAAGCAAUUGAGAAGAAUCCAAGACAAAUGAACUUAUAACUGCUCUCUCACAGCAAAGGGAAGUUACAUUCCACCAGACUAUUCCGUGCUGACCUGAGCCCGCAGCCACCCAGGGGAGAAAACACACUUAGUGUGACUGCAGCCACACAAAUUUGUGUGUCCGUAGAAACUCAGGUUUUAUGUUAUUCUCCCUGUGGUUAGAGCUGUGGUUUAUUGUUAACCACUUUCCUUUCUCUCCCUCUCUUCAAGGUAGAUUUAUUAGCACAAAUAUGUCAUGCAAAUGAUGAUUUAUGAUCGCACCAUAGUCCCUGAGAAAACAUAUUGAUUUAGGGGAACUUGUGUUCCCUGCUACAAAGCCCUGUUGUGGGAGGCCUGGAUGAUGGGACUAGAGUUAAGCUGAAUUCAUCAAACUGCCAAAAGCUUUAUUUCCUGAGAUAUUCUGCUGCUGCAUUAUUCUGCGCGGGUUCCACAUUUGGAAUCUGUACUUGUUAUUUCAUCACUGCUAUUACCAUUCUGAUUCCUCUAUUCUGUACUCAGCUCAAAGAAUUGUGACGUUUACCUGGGUAGCCUUCCACAUGAGCUAAUCAAUAGGGAGAUGUUUGUUCCUAAGCGAUGAAGAAACGUUGAGGAGAAGCACACAAAGUUAUCUGCCAGCUCCCGAUACUGCUCUGAUUCCCAGGAGAAAUGAUUUCCAUCCGAUCGAUCCUGGUGUGACUAACCUGCAUUCCUCACCACGCUCGCUCGCUCACGCACAACGUAACUUAGGGGGCUCCGGGAGCGCCCUUCACAGCAUCAUAAUCAAGAUGUGAACCUAAAUUUUCUUCCUAUUUGCGGUAAGAUGCUUCAGAAUUCUUUACCUGCAGCAAGUUGUACCUUACAUCAUGAUGAAUUUUCAUAAGCCACACUCAUGAUCUUCAUUUCUUUAACACUUUUGUGUUGAAAAUUUAAUUUUGAAGCAAAAUGAAGAAUCCCAGGAUUUUACCUACAUUUCUUUUGCACUUACACUUUGGAGUUUCCUCUUAGUGAGGUUAUGUGUUGCUGACAGUUAAACAGCUUCUCUUAAAAGUCAGCUAGAGAAGACUUCUGGCCUAAAGAUAGUAGAAUGAGCAGGAGCCGAAAUUUCUCUCCUAAGGCCCAAAUUCAUAGGAACAGUAUGAGGAAAACCAACAU
rnacentral:lncRNA from 1 species